AUGGUUUCUCUAAAACUCGUAUCUUUGGUCUUCUUGUUUGCCACAUUCUGCAUGUUCGUGACUAAGAAUGUAAGAGCAUCAAACUGUUAUUGCAGAUAUCCAUCUAGACUUUUAUUGAGGACGAAUGAUGAACACCCUAACUUAUAUGAAUCUGAUGCCGAUUGUGAGAAAAAGGGAAGUGGAAAAUAUUGCGGUCAUUAUCCUAAUCCUGAUAUUGAAUAUGGAUGGUGUUUUUCCUCUAAAUCUGAAGCAGAAGACAUUUUCUCUAAGAUUACCCCAAAAGACUUGUUGAAGAGUGUUUCCACUGCUAAAUAUUGA